UUUUUUAUCCCGAUUUCUCCAGAUCUUGUGAGAAGAUCUGACAAGUUCGUUCCUUUGUUCAAAUUUCGAUAUUUUUUGUGCGAUUUGUGGUGUCCGAUUUCGUGUUCGUGUGAUUUGUCGUUGAGAACCCUAUGAUGUUGGUUUUGGCUCUCCUGAGUUCGAGCUUCUCGGGGGGCUUUCGAUUGUUCGAUUUUACGAAUCUAGGGAUCUGUGGUGCCAGUAGAAACUCGUUGAGUUCCUCAAUGGAUCGAUGAAUCAUCUGAUUUUUUACUGAAAUUGUGAUCUUCUCUUCAGCGUGCCUCUCUCUUUCUUGUUAACUUUAGCUGUUAUUGUACUGUAGCAGGCUUCAAGAGCAGCUCUGAGCAUGUCCCGGCGGCUCCGGUGCGCCCUCCAGGUCUUCGAUCUCAAGGCACUAUUGCUUCUCUUCAUCGGCGUUCCCACCCUCGUAUUCGUCAUCUACGCCCAUGGCCAGAAGAUCACCUACUUCCUUCGGCCGCUGUGGGAAUCCCCUCCUAAGCCCUUCAGGACCAUACCUCAUUACUACCACGAGAACGUCUCCAUGGAGAACCUGUGCAAGCUCCACGGGUGGGGCAUCCGGGAAAUGCCGAGGCGUGUGUACGAUGCCGUCUUGUUCAGCAAUGAGCUCGACAUCCUGGAAGUUCGUUGGAACGAGCUCAGCCCUUACGUCUCGGAGUUCAUUCUGCUCGAGUCCAAUUCAACAUUCACCGGCUUGAAGAAGCCCCUCUCCUUUGCAGAGAACCGCCACCGCUUCAAGUUCGUGGAGUCACGGUUGACUUAUGGGACUUUUGGUGGGAGAUUUGUAAAAGGGGAGAAUCCUUUUGUCGAGGAGGCUUACCAGCGGAAGGCAUUGGAUCAGCUUAUCAGGAUUGCCGGAAUCAGUGAUGAUGAUUUGUUGAUCAUGUCCGAUGUUGAUGAGAUACCUAGUGGUCACACUAUCAACCUUCUCAGGUGGUGCGAUGAGAUUCCAGAGAAGCUUCAUCUCCAGCUUCGGAACUACCUCUACUCCUUUGAGUUCUACCUUGAUGAUGAUAGUUGGAGGGCUUCAGUUCACCGUUACCAAGCUGGGAAGACCACAUAUGCCCAUUUGCGUCAGACAGAUGACCUAUUAGCAGACUCCGGGUGGCACUGCAGCUUCUGCUUCCGGCACAUCAGCGAGUUUAUUUUUAAAAUGAAUGCAUAUAGCCAUGUUGAUCGUGUCCGAUUUGCUUAUUUCUUAAAUCGUUUCAGAAUUCAGGAUGUCAUAUGCCAUGGAGCUGACCUUUUCGACAUGCUUCCUGAGGAACACACGUUCCAGAAAAUAAUUGCCAAGCUGGGGCCAAUUCCUAGUACAUACUCUGUUGUAAAUCUUCCAGGUUAUCUGAUUCAGAAUGCUGACCAGUACAGAUACCUCCUUCCGGGGAACUGCAAAAGAGAAAGAGGCUAAGCAAAUUAGUGGCUGUUGUAGACUGAUUGAGAUGUUACAGAAAAACAUCAUCUAUAGACUGAUUGUCAUCACCUGACAUGUAAGUUGAGUAUCUGACCUAGGUUGAUCUCUAUCACGAAGAAGAGGGCAAGCAUCGAGAUUGUCAUGUUUAUAUGCACAAUAAUUUUCUGAAGAGCUACUAGUUUCCGUGUGCAUGCAUGCGGCCCACUGAAUAAGCUCUGUUGACUGAAUACUAUGGGAGAUUGUUCACGCCUUCUUUCCAUCUUGGCAGGUGAUAUUACACCUCAUUGUUGUAGGAUAAAAAACAAGUGACCUUUCCUAAUAUUUGAUUUCUGGGGUUCAUUUUUCUCUGAAGUUAAUUUAUUCAUGUAUUCUUCUACCAACUGGGCUUGAUGCACCAUAGACUCCGUGAUUGUAAUAUAUGACUUGGUUGAGUUCUGCUUUUGGAUUCAUUUGUUUGUUUCACCAUAUGAGGAUAUAAGAGUGCAUUACCAAAAACCUAAUGCAUCCAGCUUUUGUGUAUGUGACUGCAAUUAUAUGUAACUGAAGAUUUUGAAACUUUGCUGAUGUCCUGCAUGUUCUCCAUAUACUGGCAUAUGCCCCAGCAUUGGAAGAUACAUGAAGAUACUUAGGUGGAAAUUAUCUUUUCAUGGUAAAUUCAACUCAUGACAUUCUUGCCUUUAUAUUUAGGAGGUGUCACUACCAUUAAGAUAUUCCAAAACAUCAAGAUUUUCUGAACUAUUUGGAGUUCAGUAUCUUGGGAUUUCUUUUACCAUUCAUCUGUAUAUAUAUACACAUCUUUUCUUAAUCCUUAUGUUUCCUAAUCUUCUUUUCCAAUGCAUGUACCAAAUUACUUUUUGUGUUUCAUCUUCAUGGUCCCUUCUGUACCAACUGUAAGCUGAAGUCAUAUGCUUAUCAUCUGCAGUCUUUUUUAAACAGAUUUGACCCUGCAAAACCAUAAUGUAGAUAUGUAAGGAAUAGUGACUUUGAUUUCAUUGAGUCACAGAAGCUUAGAUCAGUCCUUAAACUAGUUUUAUUGAGUGAGCUUUGAAUCUAAUUAACUCUGGAAUUUGUUCAGAUACUUCCUGUUUAGUAUUGAAUAAUAUAAUUGCCUGGUUAAGCUUCCUGUGGAAUACUGUUUGGACCUUCAUUGUUAUUGCGAAUGUAGCAAACAAGCUAUGGCAGUUCUGUAUGCCCAAUCUUCCUUGCCAUUGACCCUUUAAAUCUUGUCUCACUUCUUUAUUUUUGUGUGACAUUGCAGAUUAAAGUUUAUGCCUUGUGGAAAAGUAGGUGAUUCUGCCAUGUUGCUAUGAUAUUGUUUUACCUAUGUUUUGCUUAAGUAUUUUGAGCUUUGCAAUUUCUUGGAAGUUCAAGAAGAUUUAACUUUUUAGGGAAUGCAAGAACAUUGAGAAAAGUUCAUGUGUAAUUUCAUUUGGGGAUCAGAAAUGGAGAACAAAAAAUAUUGGUUAUAAGAUUUUACUACCAAAUCUAUUGUACAGUAUCCUUUUUCUUAACAAAGGGGAUAUGGUUAGAUUUUUACCAACUAAACUAAAUAGCACCUUCAAGUUUAUUAUACAAUUUUGGUAAUAAUAUUUAUUUAUUAUGUCUGAAAUGUUGAUAGAAAUUUUUAUCAUCUUGAAAGAGUUUUAGCUUAUCUCACUUGUGCCAAUCUCCAUAGAUCUAAAGACCUGUUUAUUUAUGUUGUUAAUGAUAAAUCAUGAUGUGAAAUAAGAUAAAGAGAAAAAAAAAAAACUAAACUCUUUUUUUUCAAAGAGAUAACUUAAUAAAAUUUGAAAGAUGAAAAUGUCCCAUUAAUCUUUCUUUCUUUCCCUUUUAUACAUCCUUCGGACAUUGAAUCUCUCAACUACCUAGUUAAUGAGUCACAACUUAUUAAGAAUCAAGUAUAUAUUAUAAUAUAUAUUAAAUUCAUGGUGCAUUGUACUUUGAUGAUUUUAAAUUUUCAUAAUUAUCUCAAGAUGUGAAUCAUUUAAUUUGUUAAGAAUCAAGCAUAUAUUAUAAAAUAUAUUAAAUUCAUGGUGCAUUGUACUUUGAUGAUUUUAAUUUUUUAUAAUAUCUUAAAAUAUGAAUCAUUUUUUAGAAAUUUGAUAGGGUUAAGCUUGAAAUUUAUUGUCUUGUAACUUAGGAGCAUUCAAUACUCAUUAUGCACUGUAUCAUUCUCUCCGGAUGAUAAAUAACUCGAGUUGUCGUUAUUAUUAUCUUAAACGUUAAAUGUUGAGUGACUGAACAUUCACAGUGACCAUUUUUUCUUUGAGUUUAUUGAGAGUUUUUAUUGAAAAACGUUUUUUUUUUCAAGAAUACUCAAAUAAGAUCUCCUUCUUCAAAAAUCAUCAUAAAAUAUUGCUUGUUAGCCUUUUCUUUCUAAACUUGGUUGUUACCUUAAGUGUUUUCUUUGCUUCUUUAUGAAUUUUUGUCAUGAUAAUAGCAAAAUCCUCUCCCUUUGAACUUGAUAAAAGUGAUUUAGGUAUUUUAGCAAGAUCUAGAUAAUGAGGUGAAAUACGAUCAUAAAUAAUCUCAAAUAGACUCUUGCCUAUAGAAUGAUUAACCAAAGAGUUAUAAGCGAAUUCAGCUUUAGCAUGAGAUCCCAGAUCCCAUUAUUUUGAUCUUUUCAGCAAAGCAUUGAAACAUAUUAUCCAAAGUUCUAUUAACAACCUUAGUUUGUCCAAUUGUUUGACGAUGAUAAUAGGUUGGUGUCAAAUUUCUUCCAAAAAUUCUCUAAAAGUAAUUAAAUUUAGGAUAUCUGAUGUAAUAGAUUUAGGAAUUUUGUGAAGUUUGAUCACUUCAUUGAAAUAAACGUUAGCAUCCAUGAUUUUCUUGCAAGGAAUAAAAUGUUAUUUUAGAAAAUCGAUCAACAACAACAAAGAUAGAAUCUAUACCGUUUUGAGUUUUCGAUAAAUCAAUCAUAAAAUCCAUACUAAUAUCUUCGCACGAAGCAUUAGGAAUUAGUAAAAGAGUAUAUAUAUCAAAGAUUUUGAGUUUGCCCUUUUGAAGUUUAGCAAAAAUAUUUUACUAAUAUCAUUUCACAUAACGUGUAACAUCUUGACAAAUUAUUGGUAAAAAAUAUUUCACUUUGAUGAGAAGUAUUGUUUUGUCUCUCCCAAAAUGACCUUCUAAUCCAUUAUAGUGCAAUUCAAUACUCUUUUAGAUAAUAUUUAGAAAUACAAAGUUGGAUUCCAUGAAAGAGAAAAUCAUCUUCAAUUUUAUGAUAGGAUUCCAUGAAAGAGAAAAUCAUCUUCAAUUUUGUGAUACUCACUUGUACAUAACUUUUAUGUUUCCUCAAUAUCUUCAUUAUUACAAUAAGUACUUCUUAUUUCAUCAAAUCAUUUUAGUUUGGCUUGUAUAGUAUUAAGAAACCCUAAUUGUCGACUUAGUACAUUUACAAUUUUAUUACACAUUUUAUUCUUAUACUUCAUGACAAAAGUAUACUUUUGUAAAAAUGUCACCCAUGUUGCAUGUCAUAUAUUAAGAUUUGCUUGAGAAUUUAUAUGUUUAAGAGCUUUAUGAUCAUAAUUUAAGAUAAAUUCUCUUUGAAUCAAAUAAGGUUUCAAAUUGUCGUAGUGCUUGAAAAAUAGCAUAAAAUUCAAAUAUCAUAGGUUGAAUAAUUCUUUAUUGUAUUGUUAAACUUUUCACUAAAGAAUGCAAGUGGAUGUCCUUCUUGGCUAAGUACUCUUAUGUGGCAUCAUAAUCAACUUCAAAUAUUUUAGAAAGAUCUGAUAAUACAAUAAUAAAAGCAGCAAAUAAUUUCACCUUUCUUGUUUGCCACAAGUGUCCAUUCAAACACUUAUUUCUUUAUGUAAUCAAUUAGAGGAGCUGCAAUUGUACUAAAAUUUUGAAUAAAUUAAUGAUAAAAGAAUGUCAACCUAUGAAAACUCUGAAUAUUUUGUAGGAAUGUUAGUGUUAGCUAAGUCUAGAUAACUUUAAUCUUCUCAUAAUCCACUUAGAUACCUGUAGGGGUUAAGGUGAAGCCUAGAAAAGCUAGGCUAGAGGUCAUGAAGGAAUACUUCUUAAGAUUUAUGUAUAAUUUUAUUGCUUUCAAUGUUGAUAAGAUAGUUCUCAAAUGUUCUAUGAAGUUUGUUAUGACUAUAAAUUAGAAUAUCAUCAAAGUAAACAAUAAAAAACUUCUUAAUAUAAGGGCAUAGAAUUUUAUUCAUUACCCACAUAAAGGUGCUCGAAGCAUUUGAAGGUCUAAAUGACAUAGUUAAUCAUUCAUAUAAAUAUUCUCGAGUCUUAAAAAAUAAUUUUCCAUUCAUCUCUUAGAUUAAUAUGGAUUUGAUGAUAAUCGCUUCGAAAAUCGAUUUUAGAAAAAAAUUGAGCACUAGCGAGCAUAUCAAACAUAUCCUCCACAUGGGAAUAGAAAAUCUGUACUUGAUGAUAAUCUGAUUGAUUGCUCGAUUAUCGAUGCACAUCUGCCUAGUUUUAUCUUUCUUUAAAGUCAAUAGAGCUAGAACGAAACACAUGCUUAAGCUUUUUAAAAUAUAACUCUUGUAUAAUAGAUCUAUAACUUGUCUAUUUAAUUCUUUAUGUUCUUUUGGACUCAUUUGGUAGUGAGAUUUGUUUGACAAAAUUACCCUUAGAAUUAGAUUGAUUCAAUGUUGAAUGUGUCGAAGAAGAGGUAAGCCACUAAAAAGUUCUUAAGAGUAGAUGCUUUUGAAUUCCUCCAAAAUAUUUUUACUUCACCAUAAAUUUCUAUAUAUUGUAUGCAUUCUUUAGCAACUAAUAUAAAUACAACUCCACUUUUUUUGCUCUAUUGUAAACUUAUUUAAAAUAAUGAAGUUAUUUCUCUUGUAAACUUACUUUUUGCAUGACAAAAAUAUACUUCUAACUCGAUUGAAUUUAAAAGUACAGGUGUUCUUUCUACCAUCAUGUAUAGCAUACUUAUGAUAUUGUCAUGAUCUUUCUAAGAGUAUAUGACUAAAAUCUAUUGAUACUAUAUCACACCAUACGUUAUCUUUAUAAUUUUUUUUUCAUCGAAAAAGAAACUAGGUAUCGAUUAGUAAUUUGUACCUCAUUGUCUUUCUUUAACUAUGGUUUUGUCUUGAGCUUAAGCUUGUCUACCAUAUCUUAAGACACAAUAUUCUCAUAAUUGUCACUAUCAAUAAUAAGAGAACAAAUUUUAUCUUAAGACUUGUAACAUGUCUUGAAAAUAUUAUUUUAUAACCAUUCUUCAUUAGAAUCAUCUCUUUGAGUAGCAAGCACUCUAUGGAUUACCAAGCAUUCACCUUCUUCGGAUGUAAUUUCUUCAUAAGCCUCAUCGUGGUAUUCAUCAUAUAUUGAUUUUUUAUCUUCAAAUUAUUUAUUAAUAUCUUUUUCUUCGGUAAAGUUAACUCAUCUAUUUAAGCACUCGUUCAUGUAGUAUCCCACAUGUUUGCAUUUAAAGAAAGUAGGAAGGUAAUUGGUGCGACUAGAUUAUCAUCCAUAGUUGGUAGGAGUUAAUUCGGAUGUAUUUUUGAUGAUUCUGUUAGCUUUCGAUCUACUAGCAUUAUAACGAGUGGAGUUAACUUUAGACGGGUAAUGUAAAGGAACAUUAGAAUAUCUCUUUGCUCCACUUUAAGUAAGCUUUACUUUAACUUUUAGCGCUAAUUGAUAAGCAUAAGAUAACCUCCAUAGUCAUUGCAUCUUUACUUUAUCUAUGAUUUCAAAUCAUAAUUUGUAGGCCAUCGACAUAUCUUGCAACAAGUUGUUCUUCCAUCUCUUGAGUAUUAUAUCGGGUCAUCAACUUGUGGAAUUCUUCAAUGUAGUUGAUGACGGUUUUGCUAUGCUAAAGGUUGUUAAAAUAUGAAAAAAAGAGUUUGAACAUAAUCAAAUGGAAGAAAAUUCUCAUGGAACCAAGAUUUCAUCUUCUCUCAAGUUGAAAUAUUUAUCUUUCCUUUCCGAAGGCAUGGCUAUUGCAUCUUGUCCUACCAUAUUGAAGCAUAAUCGAGAAGCUUUAUAGUAAUUAAUUUUACUUUUCAAUCUUCGAAUAUUUCCUUGUAUUUAAAGAAUUUCUCAACGGUACUAAGCCAAUCAAAAAACUCUUUAGGCUGAAAUUGAUCAUGGAACUUUGGUAAGUCAAUCUUGAUAUUAUCAUUUGCAUGAAAAUAUCUCUCCAUAGAUGAGUCUGUGACAACUUCUUUGGAUGCAAAGAGAAUCGAUCAUAUCUUCGAAUACAUCACUCGCAUAAAUGUAACUUAAGCCUCUAAAGCCAUGGGUUUCUUGAUGUUUAAGGCACAUAGUAAACUCUUCAACAUGUCUCCUUAGUACUUCAAUUUCUACAACCAUUUCAUCUAUAUAUGGUUGCAUCAUUCUUUCGUUACGUCACCCUCUACCCCUUGUAAUUAUUGUAAGAAGAAAGUACUCGAAUAGCAUAACAAGACUCCGAUACCAAAUGAUGUAAAACAAGAUGAAGAGAGAAGAAGAGGAUAAGAAAAAGAAUUGAGAUACAAGAGAACAAAAGAAAAAUAUCAUUUUUUUCAAAGAGAAUUAUCUCUUUAAAAACAUACCUACAAGCUAGUAGCUCAAAAUAUAAAAGUUUAAUAAGGUUUUAAAAAUAAAAAUAUCCUAUUAAUCUUCUUUCCUUCUUUUUUUUUUUUAUAGAUCCCUUUUACGUUGAAUCUCUCAACCAUCUAGUUAACGAGUCAUAAUUUACUAAAGGUCAAAUACAAAUUAUAAUAUAUAUUAAAUUUAUAAUAUAUUAUAUUUUGAUUAUUCCAAAUUUUUAUAAUUAUCUAAAGAUAUGAAUCAUUUCAUUAAAAUUUGAUAAGAUUAAAUUUAUAAUUUAUUGUCUUGAAAUUCGAAAGCUUUCAAUGUUUAUUAUUGCAAUUACUUUUGUGUGAAGCUAUCUAAAGGUUUCUGUCAUUUACUAAGUUUAAAUAAAUAGGGAAGAAUAAGAUUAAUCCUUUAUAAUUCUUUUAUAAUUAGAUGAUCAUUACGUAUAAAAUUAAAUCAGAUCUCAUAAUCCUCUUAGAUCAAUACUUUUAAGUGAAUCUCCACUUUUCAAUAGUAUAAGAUAAAAAAAAACCCAAAAAAGAAUAUAAUAAAAAUUUUAAAUAUUUUUAUAUUUCUUAAUAUUGAUAAAAUAUUCACGUAUUCAAUCCCAAAUAAUUAUAUAUAGUAACCUCGUGCCUUUGAUCAUUUCUUUAUCACGUGAUACUUGUCAAUGUAAGAUUCGUGCAGAGGUUUGAUUGAGACUUUAAGAGUUGCAUCAGUAACAUGAAUUGUUCAUCGGUCUAUUAUGCGAUGAAGUUCGUGCCUGAUGAUCACGACUCGUGGUAGUGCUACGAGAGCCAUCUCCUCGAUUCACUCUCGCUCUCUCUCUUCGAUCCUUUCUUCCACCGACGCAGUAAACCGGCGGGUCUUCUCCUUCUCCUCCAGCCAACAAGAAGAAGGCUUCCCGGACUCGCUCUCCCUGGUCGCCGCCAUCAAAUCCUGCGCCGAGUCCCUCAACCUCUCCGCUGGCCAGCAGCUCCACGGCCUCGCCCUGAAGUCCGGCCUUGACCGCUCCAACCUCUUCGUCCGCAACGCCCUCCUCAACGUCUACGCCAAAUGCAGCCGCCUCGACUCCGUCCUCCGCAUCUUCUCCUCCCCCAACACCGAGCGAGACUCCGCAUCUUGGAACAUUGUCCUGGCCUCCUAUGUCAGGUCCGACCGCCUCCCCGGUGCCCGCAGGAUAUUCGACGAAAUGCCUCACCGGGACGCCGUCUCCUUCACCACCAUGAUCAUGGGCCUCGCCCGGAACGGCCGCCCGGACGAGGCCGUCGCCACCUUCCGGGACAUGGUCGCCAGCGGUGUCCGGCCGAACGAGGUCACCCUGGCCACCGUCCUCUCCGCUUGCUCUCACCUACGCGCACCUCGAGGUGGGAGCAUGAUCCACGCCGCCGCCGUGAAGCAUGGGCUUGUUGAUUUCGUCCUGGUUGGGACCAAUUUGGUGCACGUCUAUGCUUCCUGUUCCCGGAUAGAUGACUCCCGAUCUGCCUUCGAUGCGUUGCCGGAGAAGAAUACUGUCACCUGGAACGUGAUGCUCAAUGGCUACGCCAAGGCCGGACAAGUCGGUCACGCCAAGGAUUUGUUCGAGAGAAUUCCGGCCAAGGACUUGGUUUCAUGGAGCACAUUGAUUGACGCGUUCUUACGGGUUCAAAGAUUGCAGGAAGCUCUCAGAAUAUACCGUGGGAUGCUGCAGGAUUUGGGUGAGAGGCCGAAUGAAGUGCUGAUGGUUGAUUUGGUGUCGGCUUGUGGGCGCUGUUCUGCGGUCCAAGAAGGUCAGCAGUUUCAUGCCGCGAUUACCAAGAUGGGACUCGACCGCCACACCUUUGUGCAGUCAACGUUGAUCCAUUUCUACGGCGCAUGCGGUCUGGUCGAUCUUGCUUGCCUUCAGUUCCAAGCUUGUCGCCAGUCGCAUGUUGCUUCCUGGAAUGCCUUGUUGGCUGGACUCUUGCGGAACAACUUGGUCGAAGCAGCAGCAGAAUUGUUUGAUAAUAUGCCUGAAAGAGACGUUGUCUCUUGGAGUACGAUGAUUGCUGGUUACGUCCACAAUGGUUCCUCCCACUUGGCUCUACAGCUCUUCCAAGAAAUGCAGCACAAGGGCUACGAAGCGAACGACAUCACAUUGGUGAGUGUUCUGUCUGCCGUUGCCGAUUCGGGCACUUUGGAUUACGGGAAGUGGAUCCACGAUCUCAUAACCAUCAGAAGGAUUCCUCUCACCGAUAACUUGAGCGCGGGGCUCAUCGACAUGUACGCAAAGCGUGGCAGCAUAGGAAACGCGCUCAACGUGUUUGACAUUGUGAAGGACUCAGCAUCAGUGUCACCUUGGAACGCUAUAAUAUGUGGCCUGGCCAUGCACGGGCAUGCAGAUAUGUCCCUCGAAGUGUUCAUGGAUAUGCAAAGUAGGAGCAUCACACCAAACUCCAUCACAUUCAUUGGGGUGCUGAGUGCGUGCUGCCACAAUGGCUUGCUAGACACAGGAAGACGAUAUUUUGAGAGCAUGAGAAGAGAGUACAACAUCGAGCCUACCAUCAAGCACUAUGGUUGCUUGGUUGAUCUGCUAGCACGAGCUGGUUGCUUGGAAGAGGCAGAGCGGGUGAUCGAGUGGAUGCCGAUGGAGGCAGAUGUGAUGAUAUGGGGAAGUAUGCUGGCUUCUGCGAGGACCCAUGGGAAGGUUGAGAUAGGGGAGAGGGCUGCAGAUAGCUUGGCUAGGUUGGAACCCAGUCAUGGGGCUGCAAGAAUUCUUCUGUCUAACAUCUAUGCAGAUGCAGGUCGAUGGUCUGAUGUCUUUAUGGUGAGGAGGGCGAUGCAGAGCAGUAGAUUGGACAAAACACCGGGAUGGAGUGGCAUUCUAUGACAACUAAUUGACACGAUAUCGGGUAAUUUCACUGAGAAAUGCUUUGUUUAUUUGUAGUAACAAUAGUUGAUAAGCAUUGAGAAGGAGGAUGAAAGUUGUUUUUGUAUGUAUGGUUGGGGAAGAAUCAAUCAAGCUGAACCCCCCCUCCCUUUACAUUUCAAGUUAUUCAUUUCCAGACUACUUGAAAGAGAAGUUGUGACUAAUCUAUAGUUGGAUUGAUUCAGAUGUUGAAGCAAAGUUGCAGUAGCCCAUGGAUGUGUCAUGAACAGCAGCAGCAGCAGCAGCAGAUCCUAGUCAAGACAAGUCCUUAGAUGUUUUAAGGUAAAAGUUCCAUUAUAAUCAUAUAUGUGCUCAACUCAAAAGAUCCAUUUUCUAGUGUAGAAAAUGCCUCACUUUAAUAUUACUAAAAAUAUAAAAAGUUUUCCUCUGAAAACAGUUACAAAAGAACACUAGAAUCAGAUUCAUGAGUUGGCACUCAGAGAUCCUUUCUCGUUUAGUCAUUGUUUCAGACACUACCUCUUCAAACACCGAACCGCUCAAUCCGAAGAUGGAGGAAGGGAGAGGAAAGGCGGACUCAUCGACCAUGGUGGCGAUGGUUUAAAAGCGAAGAUGAGGUUGCGGGCGGGGUUGGAGCCGACCACAAUCAAUGUAUAGCUCUACCACAUAGUUGAGGAGAGUUGGGCUGCUUUAGUUGACCUCGCCGCCACCACUUGAGUUGUACUCCUUAUUCUGAAUUGGUGAUGACAUAAAUUAAUCAUUGUAAAAGAAUAGCCCUUUUUUAUGAUAAUAAUUAAUUGAUGAAGGGGACUCUUACCAUCUAUAUAACAUAACAUGAACGAGGGUUGUUGUAGCUACACGAGCAUCUUCUUCUCUGCACGACUAUGGUUGCUGAACUUUGAAUACUUAGGUCUUUCGAUUGAUGCAAAGUUGGGUUUCUUAGUUUUUCUCUGUCUAUAUCUCAUUAUAUGAGUUAAUCAUAGCAAUAGAUUACAACCUUUUUUAUAAUAACAACUAUUUAAUGCAAGGAUUUCAAAAUAUAUGAGUCUAUAUACCAUGAAUUAGGGUCGUUGUCGAUGUAUGAUCGAUCACCUUCACCGUUUGACGAUAUGACUAUGGUUGCGACAUUGCGAAGUUUCUAUGUGGCGCAUUUCGUCACUCGCCUUCCAUCAUCGUCUCCAUCUCACCAUAUAUAUUUUUUCUUUCUCUUUCCUCUUCUUUUCUUCGGGUGCCUUUGGUGUGUUGAUCCAUAAGCUUGUUAUAGUCUCAAAUCAUUCCGACUUGGCACAAGUCCAAUACCCAAAAUUAGAUCGAGGCCUCCAUGUACUGGUUAAAUAAUACAACCACCCAAAUGCAUGACAAUUUCGGAUUUCCUGUAGCCACUCAGUGAAGUAAUAUAUCAACUGCAGAAAAUUCUCCACAGCCAUAUAUAUAUGAUAAGUGCAAGCAAGCUAAGCAUGCCUUUUGAAAGCUUGCCAUGUUGAAUAUAAUCUCCAAUUAAUCUAAAUUGUACACAAACAUAUGUUCAUUUCUACGUGCAUUUAUAUGUAUGUUGGACACAAACACAUGAAUACACGUAAGCUCCCUAUGCAUGACAUUGAUACGACAACCUCAGAUGUGUGAAGCAAAUGGAGACCAAAGACCUAUAUAUUGGGGGCAAUUGUAACAUUGUAACUCUAUAUACAUAAACGCAUCCUCAGCAACUAUGCUUGUUAGGUUUUCUGGUUCAGACUUGGUAUCCAGAAUUAAAGUAAUUCACGCAAAAGAUCUAAACAAAUCGCUAAACGAUGACAACUAAAUGGAAAUACAUUAAGAUGAGAAACAUUACAGUGUACAGUGUCCCAUAUUGCUUUGGUCAUUCCGUUUAUGAUUGUCCUUCAACAUGCAUCACAGCAAUCCAACCGGAAAGUGCCCAACAACAUCAGCAAACUAUGUGACCAGUCAAUUAGGUAUGAUAGAUAAAAGACUAAUGCUUGGAUGAUGGACCAUCAAAUUCGACUUUCCAGUAGGUCAUAAAUCUCCUCUUGUCAAAUUGUAUGAAACAAUUCCGGUCGCGACACCAAAGAUUAGUGGUUUCUCUCCGGUUGGUGUGCUCUGGUCAGCGAGCUUGAGACCCUCCAUAAAUGUUCGUACCGCUUGCAGUACUCAUGCCACCAUAAGAAUCAAUUCCCUCGGCCGAUGCCCCACUGGUCAUGUGAGCUUGAGGCCUUCCAUGUGCUUCAGUAUAGUGGGCAGGAUUAGCAUAGCCAAAACCUGCAUCUGCAUAGUUUACAAUGGGAACAUGGCUACCAGCCAUGUAGCCACCACCUCCCAUGCUAAAGCUGUGAUUUGGAUAACCAGUGCCUUGUCCUGCUGUCUGAUGCAUACCUCCAUAUUGGUUGGGUGCUGUUUCACAGAGGAAUUUCAAGAAAAAUGUGACUAGAUAGAACAAUCAAAAUAUACACAAAGACAAGAUCAGAAAAAUAAAUACCAUUUAUUAUCUGUUCAGUACCUGUCACUUCAGCUCUCAGCCUCUCGACUUCUUUGGCCAUAGACAUCAGGUUUUUCUCCAUGGCACGCAUCCGCUCCACUUGCUCGAUAUUCAAACCCUUCUCAUAUUCAAAAGUAGCACUUUUCCAAAAAGAAAAAAAAUUGCAAUUUAGUUAUUAUCUCAGAAACAAAAAAAAGAAAAAAAUUAAUGAAGAAAAAUUCCAAAGGAUAUAAGAACCACACAACACACCGUAAUGUCUGGUGCUCCUGUCUCAAGCCAUCUAACUCAGAAUGCAUCUCAGGCAACUUUUUGAAGCCUGCCGUUGAUUUUUGUAGUUCUUCUGUCACGACCUGUAUCUCAGCAGAGAGUUCCUGUCUCACAGUUAUCAGGUUCUGUGCCUCCAAAUGUGCUUGUUGGAGUUCCUUCUUCACCACAUCACCAGAAUGGAUAUCAUCUUCCAGUUUCCCAAUCUUCUCCAGUAAUCCCCUAAUUUGGAUAUCACUUUCAGUAUGGAUACUUCCAAGAUAAGCCUGCACUCUCUGCAUUUCUUUCUGAGUAGCAACGAGCUCCUGUCUCAUGGCCACAUUACUCUCCGCGAAUCUCUGGUUUUCUCUUGCAAUCCUUUCCAUCUCAGCUUCUUGAAUUGCAACCUUUUUUUCGAGGUGCUCAGGUGGAAGAAGGGCUUCUCUGGGGUGAUGAUCAGCAGGACCUGGCCCGGGAAGUGGUCCAUGGCGCAUCAUUCCAGGAGCUUGGAUAGGCCGUCGCCCAUAAGAUGAUGGCAUACGUCCAUGGGCAUCCAUGCUUCCAAAUUCACUUGUAUAGGAUCUAAAUGUAUUGAAUUAAAUAUUUAACAUGUUGUUAGUAUAAAUGUUGAAAAGAAACUUUCGGUAAGAGAAGAAUUAAAAGAGAACACGACAAAUUCACAUGUCCAGAGAUCCAGAUUAUAAGGAAUAAAAUCCAUGGCAUUCUGUUGUCCAUGACAAAAUAGUUUGUGUGAUUAUUCGUCAAAAAAUAUAUUGUUUGAAGAAUGUGUCUCCGAUAAUUGGUACCCACACCACUAUAUACAGAAUGCAUAAGCUUUCAUGUCUUUGUAAAGAUCCAGCAGACUUCACCUUUAAUUAUCAUAAGACAACGUUAGUAGUCAUUCCCAGAAUCACUUUAUCUUAUAUAUCUACUAGCAGCUUUGGUAUAAUUUACAUAGGUCAAGAUGAAAAAUAAGAUGAAGGGUCUACAAGCUUCCCCAAAAAUCUUUUGUUGUGUGUACCAUCUAGCCCUCAAAAUGGUCUAAAGAAUGAAACCAAAGCCAUCAAAACCACAAAAACAAAAUUGUUAAGUUCUUUUAAUUUAUUCAACUGUAGCCUGCACUGCUGCAAUCCCUAGAUCAUGCGUAUUUAUCUACAUCACAAGAACAUUACUACUAUAUUGUUGGUGCUAGUUAACAAAGUUAAGAUGAGUAGAACAUCCUAGCACCUUCCACCACCAUCACUGGUUCUAACGAGGAACAAUAUACCGACACCAAUCCUGCUACAACACGUCUACAUCAACACCCUCCAAGUCAACAUUCCCCACCUGAAUUAGGGAGGAAGGACGACCCAGUGCGACCCAACAUGUCUACAUCAUACGGUUUGGCCCCUAGUACGAAAAAGACAGCAAGCCAAAAGGCCUUGCAUCAGGCAUCACUUUUUGACUGGGCAUUGUUCCUACGCCAAUCACAAUUCCCAUUGAUCCGACCAAAAACUGCCCUUUGCACCAGAGACCACUUCCCCUGUCAAGUUUCAGAUGCCUCCUGCCAAGCACCAAACAUAAUUUUCCAUGGCAGUCACCACUCCCCUGGUUAGCAUCAUUACCGGUCAGGAGUCAUCCCGUGUAUCACAGACAUAGAGGAUGUCCCCUAUCACCAUGAAAAGUACAAAAAGUUCCUCCCUAAUUGUACAUUAUGUAACCAAUCCCGUAUGGUAAUAAUAGGACACAUUCACUCACUUCAAUCCUAAUUUUAACUUUCCUACAAUUACUUUCACUUGGACUCGGGGUUCCAUGAAUCCCUAGCCCUUGGGAACUCCCUACUGACUUGAGUGCCGGCAGAGGAUUGUCGAAGAAGGCUCUAGCAUAUCUUUCUGUCUUGCAAAAAACCCUUUUCAAAGAGACGAACGAAGGAAUGUGACUCUGGUUGGUUCCACUCGAACUAGCGUGAAUUAUGACCCUCGUCUUUGUGAUUUACGAAGAGAUCCAUCAAGUUCCAAAGAUCUUAUUCCUCUUCCAAGAAGUUGGGGCGAGCAGCAAAGUUAAGCAAAUGAUAAAAAACAACUGUUUAUUCUACAAAAUAAAAGAUUGAUUUCUGUGUUUUCUUAUCUUCUCUUCUAUUAACAUAUUUGUUAAGAAAUAAAAAUCGUAUCUUUUAACCAUAAAUAUAAAUACAAUUUGCAUUUCUCGGGCAAUAGGCUAAAAGAAAGAAAAACUAAAGAGCUUCUGAAUUUAGUUGUGGACUAAUCAUGUACCAACACAAAGUCAGCAAUUGCUCCCAACAAAACCCUAACCAUAAGUGCGAGCGAGGACGCCCAGGGUGGAAAAGAGAGAGAGAGCCUUACGUCGGAGCGCGCUGAUUAUGCUGUGGAUUGACGACGGAGCGACGGCGGUGGAACGGUGGAGCUGCGACGGAGGCCCGGUGUAGGUGUCGACCAGAGCCCUAAUCGCGUCCCUUCCCACUGCGACUCCAGAGAACCGGGAAGAAAGAGACGGCAAAAAAGAAUAUAAAAAAGGAGUUCAUAAAUUAGACUUUAAAAUAAUAAUAAUAAUAAUAAUAACAAUAAUAAUAAUAAUAAUAAUAAUAUAGUAUUUAUUUAUUUCAUUUUUUUUUCUCGAUCGUAGAAAUUUUAAAUCAAAUAAUAAUAAUAAUAAUAAUAAGGUGAUUGUGUUAUAGUUGAUUGGAGAAUCAAAAUCAAAGUACAUCAAAAUUGAACUACAAAUGUCCCUAAAAUCAGCAAUUACAACUAAUCUCAUGUGAGUCAAAUUCAUUUUGUUUUAAGUUAUAAUUAUAUCGUUACAAUGUUGUUAAAUUACGAAAUUAUAUUUAUUUUUUAAAAUAAUAUUAAUAUAAAACUAUAUAUAAUAUAUAAGAUUUAAUAUAAUAUAUUCGUUUUUAAAUUAUGGGUGGUAAAAAAAUUAACAUAAAAUUCAUGCACUUUAAAAUCAUAUUGUAUAUUUAAAAUAUGUCUAAAAAAUACAAUAAAAGUAAAAUAAUGAAAAAUGAUCAUGCCAUUUAAUAUAAUAACAAAUUUUGAUAUUUAUUUGCAUAUGUCUUAAUAUUUCUUAUUUUUAUUUGUAUUUUUAUCAGUUAUUUAGUCUACUUCUAUGCAUAAAAAAAUGUGAUCAAUGUUCAAAUGAAUAAAUAAUCAAUCCAUUUCGGCCAAAAUUAUUCUUAAAUAAAUUAUAGAUCAUGAAUCUGUAAGCCAAUUUUUAGAAUAUUUUCUCUCAUCUAUUACACAAUGUCAUGAACCUACUUGUUGACCCAAAUCAUGUGAGCUAAUAUAUAUAUAUAUAUAUAUAUGCUCAAAGUAAUGAUGAUAGAGCAAUCUAAUCAUAAAUAAAACAUGAGACAAAAUUGAGUGUGGAAUGUAAUUUUGAUCCUAACAACAAAAUAUACUCCAAUCCUUUAUUAACAUUCAUUGUGCAUGAUAUUAAUAUUUUUUUUCCAAAUGUAGAAACUAUUUAAAUUACUUCACAAUUCUAGUGCAAUAAAACCCUUACCCUUUAGAGCACAAAAUAGAGUAUAAAUGGUAGGUCAUUCUCCACCACCAAAAUUUUGACUUCCUCUAAAUCCUUCAAUGUAAUUGUAAGAUAUUUUAAACUCAAAAAAAUGUUACAAUAUAGUAAAAAAACAUUUCAUGAAUUUUGCAGCUUGAAUCGUUUUCCAAUAUAGUAUCCAUUAUAUGUAUAUAUAUAUAUAUAUAUAUAUAUAUAUGUAUAUAUAUGUAUAUAUAUAUAUGUAUAUAUAUAUAUGUAUAUGUGUAUAUGUAUACAUAUACACGUAUACAUAUAUAUGUAUACAUAUAUACAUAUGCAUAUAUACAUAUAUACACAUAUAUAUACAUACAUAUAUAUAUAUAUACAUAUACAUAUACAUAUACAUAUACAUAUACAUAUACAUAUAUACAUAUACAUAUAUAUAUUCACGAUGUGAUGAUCGAAUCGUUCACAAAUUGGCUGACGACGACAUGAAUUUGGGCUUUCUUCCACUCUCGACCCAGCCGAAACGAACAAGCUGCUAGGGGUUGCUCCGCUGUGCCAGCCGAGGCAGGCUACAGGUUUGAUGUCCACUGAUGUGAUGAAUUUUACCCACGUCACCAUGGGCCCCACUACUUUUACGGUCCACUGUCGGAAGAUUUCCCUGAAUUGCGUUGUGAGAGGGACAGCCGAGGGGUUGUGGAGCACCGCGACCUUUCGGAAGCCCAUCUCGGCCUUCGCGUCGCAUCGCAUCGCAUCGUGCCGGCGAGCAGUCGUUGACACCGCGCGGACGCCCAAAAUAAACCCGCAGCUGCUUUUGGGAUCGCGUCGCGUGCGCAUCGAGCGUGGGGUUCUGGCUCACCAAACCCUCGUUUCGGCAUCGAUCGGGCCGGGCAGCACAAGCGGAGGGCGGGAGGGAUGUCGGGAAUCGAGAUCAGCGUGCUGCUGGACAAGUCCAAGGAGCUGGACCAGCUCCGCAAGGAACAGGAGGAGGUCCACCAGGAGAUCAACAAGAUCCACAAGAAGCUACAAUCCAGUACUUCACCCCCUAUCCUUCUCUUCGCCCCCUUUCACAAUAGCAACAACAAAAACAGCAUUUUGCUUCUUGAGUUGUUAGUGCUGCGUCUCCUUUCGAGCCAUUGUUGAUUUCUGUUGCUUUCUGCCUUGAUUCUUGUCUUGCUUCUCUUCCACAAGGCGUUGUGUUGAGGUUUGCCUGUCGUGUUUUGCACACUGCAACAUCUGGGGGAUGAAAGCCUUCGGUCUCGCUAGAGCGCAUAUGGCAAAUGUCAAUUCCUCUCGUUUCUUUUUUGUUUUUACUGGAAAGAGUACAAAUUGUUUACUGAAGCAUGAUCUGAAGCAGGUAUUGCCUAUAAAUUAACAAAUUUGCUGAUAGGAGUUCCGAGUAUUGCAUUUUUGGCAUGAUCUACACGGUCCGCAAACAUCUAUAAGUUGUUAAAAUAAUGCCUCGCGAACACUGAAUUUGUGCACUUUAGUCCACUUUUCGUAUUAGUUAUUAGAUUUGUCCUGUUAACUUGCUGUCACUAUCAUUGUUUCGAUGUGGUUAUAUAGUUGUUGGUGUGGUACAUAUCUUCUCUGUUCCUAGAUGUUUUGAUGUUUC
rnacentral:lncRNA from 1 species